UCAAAGGAAUUGACGGGGGCCCGCACAAGCGGAGGAACAUGUGGUUUAAUUCGAUGAUACGCGAGGAACCUUACCUGGGCUUAAAUGCACUUUGACAGAACUGGAAACGGUUUUUUCUUCGGACAGAGUACAAGGUGCUGCAUGGUUGUCGUCAGCUCGUGCCGUGAGGUGUCGGGUUAAGUCCCAUAACGAGCGCAACCCUUAUCGUUAGUUGCUAUCAGGUAAUGCUGAGGACUCUAGCGAGACUGCCACCGUAAGGUGAGAGGAAGGUGAGGAUGACGUCAAAUCAGCACGGCCCUUACGCCCAGGGCUACACACGUGUUACAAUGGUAUGGACAAAGGGCAGCUACACUGUGAAGUGAUGCUAAUCUCAAAACCAUAUCUCAGUUCGGAUCGGAGUCUGCAACUCGACUCCGUGAAGUUGGAUUCGCUAGUAAUCGCAUAUCAGCAACGAUGCGGUGAAUACGUUCCCGGGCCUUGUACACACCGCCCGUCAAGCCAUGGAAGCUGGGGGUACCUAAAGUCCGUAACCGAGAGGAUCGGCCUAGGGUAAAACUAGUAACUGGGGCUAAGUCGUAACAAGGUAACCGUA
rnacentral:rRNA from 1 species